rnacentral:rRNA from 1 species
GACGAACGCUGGCGGCGUGCUUAACACAUGCAAGUCGAGCGGUAAGGCCCUUCGGGGUACACGAGCGGCGAACGGGUGAGUAACACGUGAGUAAUCUGCCCAUCACUUCGGGAUAACUCCGGGAAACCGGUGCUAACACCGAAUAUGACCACUUCAGGCAUCUGAUGGUGGUGGAAAGUUCCGGCGGUGAUGGAUGAGCUCGCGGCCUAUCAGCUUGUUGGUGGGGUAGUGGCCUACCAAGGCUUCGACGGGUAGCCGGCCUGAGAGGGUGACCGGCCACACUGGGACUGAGACACGGCCCAGACUCCUACGGGAGGCAGCAGUGGGGAAUAUUGGACAAUGGGCGAAAGCCUGAUCCAGCAACGCCGCGUGAGGGAUGACGGCCUUCGGGUUGUAAACCUCUUUCAGCAGGGACGAAGCGCAAGUGACGGUACCUGCAGAAGAAGCACCGGCCAACUACGUG